ACGAACGCUGGCGGCAGGCCUCACACAUGCAAGUCGAGCGAGGACUUCGGUUCUAGCGGCGGACGGGUGAGUAACGCGUGGGAAUGUGCCCUUCUCUACGGAAUAGCCCUGGGAAACUGGGAGUAAUACCGUAUACGCCCUAUUGGGGAAAGAUUUAUCGGAGAAGGAUCAGCCCGCGUUGGAUUAGGUAGUUGGUGGGGUAAUGGCCUACCAAGCCGACGAUCCAUAGCUGGUUUGAGAGGAUGAUCAGCCACACUGGGACUGAGACACGGCCCAGACUCCUACGGGAGGCAGCAGUGGGGAAUCUUAGACAAUGGGGGCAACCCUGAUCUAGCCAUGCCGCGUGAGUGAUGAAGGCCUUAGGGUUGUAAAGCUCUUUCAGCUGGGAAGAUAAUGACGGUACCAGCAGAAGAAGCCCCGGCUAACUCCGUG
rnacentral:rRNA from 1 species